rnacentral:rRNA from 1 species
UGGGGAAUAUUGCGCAAUGGGGGCAACCCUGACGCAGCCAUGCCGCGUGAAUGAAGAAGGCCUUCGGGUUGUAAAGUUCUUUCGGUGACGAGGAAGGCGUGAUGUUUAAUAGGCAUCACGAUUGACGUUAAUCACAGAAGAAGCACCGGCUAACUCCGUGCCAGCAGCCGCGGUAAUACGGAGGGUGCGAGCGUUAAUCGGAAUAACUGGGCGUAAAGGGCACGCAGGCGGCUAUUUAAGUGAGGUGUGAAAUCCCCGGGCUUAACCUGGGAAUUGCAUUUCAGACUGGGUAGCUAGAGUACUUUAGGGAGGGGUAGAAUUCCACGUGUAGCGGUGAAAUGCGUAGAGAUGUGGAGGAAUACCGAAGGCGAAGGCAGCCCCUUGGGAAUGUACUGACGCUCAUGUGCGAAAGCGUGGGGAGCAAACAGGAUUAGAUACCCUGGUAGUCCACGCUGUAAACGCUGUCGAUUUGGGGAUUGGGCCUUGAGCUUGGUGCCCGAAGCUAACGUGAUAAAUCGACCGCCUGGNGAGUACGGCCGCAAGGUUA